rnacentral:lncRNA from 7 species
GACACAGAAUAAUGUGCAGACACACAAAUCACUGCUUUCCUAUGGACUUCUUCUUCUGGCACUGAUUUUGUUGCUGUUGUUGGACACAUGCAUUAUAAAUUAAAGACAGAAAAGGCCUCUCUGCAUUUGAUCUUGUAUGCUGAAUACUGAGAAAGAUACUUCUGCAUGAAACAGGAUUUCUAUUGAACAUUCGUGGAAAAAUGCUGUAUGCAUCACGCCCGGUUCAAGGAGAAAGUGAUGUUCUAAACAGAUGACACCCAGUCAGGGCCUGUCAGAAGGUACCAGUUCACAAUGAAGCUGAUGUGGCAGCAUAUUACAUAGAACUACAGCAGCAGACAGUUCUUCUUACCACUGUUGCUCAGAAGUGCCCAUCAAUUUUUCAAGCACCUAAGAGUCACUUCGUGAGUACUUGGGAAAAAGACAAUACACUGCAAGAGACUGAAACCAGUAGAACAGCAAUAGAAGAGCUAUGAAAAGAUCUACAGUAUGGAGGACUUCAGCCAAGUAUUUUCAGUAUUUUUCAUCUUGGAAAGUCCCAUCUGCACCAGUCAGAAAAGUUUUUUCAUUUCUUGGUUUGUUCACAAGCAAAAGGUGUAACUUUCCAUUGCUCCACUGCAAACAAUAAAUACCAGGAGAACUUUGCCAGUUACCACUGUGGUAUAUAUUUUGGAGUCUAUACAUUUUUCUUUGUUGUUCUACAAUCUAAGGUUAUUCUUUGAAGACUGUGUUUGCCACUUAAGUAAAAGGAAUGUUGAUCUGU